GCCGGGGUGGUGAAAUCGGUAAACACAGGGGACUUAAAAUCCCCCGCCUGAGAGGGCUUGCGGGUUCGAGUCCCGCCCCCGGCA
rnacentral:tRNA from 1 species